GGCUUACCAUGCAAGUCGAACGAUGAAGCCAGCUUGCUGGGUGGAUUAGUGGCGAACGGGUGAGUAAUACGUGAGUAACCUGCCUUUAACUCUGGGAUAAGCCUUGGAAACGGGGUCUAAUACCGGAUACGACCAGUUCCCGCAUGGGAUGCUGGUGGAAAGGGAUAUGUACUGGUUUUAGAUGGGCUCACGGCCUAUCAGCUUGUUGGUGAGGUAACGGCUCACCAAGGCGACGACGGGUAGCCGGCCUGAGAGGGUGACCGGCCACACUGGGACUGAGACACGGCCCAGACUCCUACGGGAGGCAGCAGUGGGGAAUAUUGCACAAUGGGCGCAAGCCUGAUGCAGCGACGCCGCGUGAGGGAUGACGGCCUUCGGGUUGUAAACCUCUUUCAGCAGGGAAGAAGCGAAAGUGACGGUACCUGCAGAAGAAGCGCCGGCUAACUACGUGCCAGCAGCCGCGGUAAUACGUAGGGCGCGAGCGUUGUCCGGAAUUAUUGGGCGUAAAGAGCUUGUAGGCGGUUUGUCGCGUCUGCUGUGAAAGCCCGGGGCUUAACCCCGGGUUUGCAGUGGGUACGGGCAGACUAGAGUGCAGUAGGGGAGACUGGAAUUCCUGGUGUAGCGGUGAAAUGCGCAGAUAUCAGGAGGAACACCAAUGGCGAAGGCAGGUCUCUGGGCUGUAACUGACGCUGAGAAGCGAAAGCAUGGGGAGCAAACAGGAUUAGAUACCCUGGUAGUCCAUGCCGUAAACGUUGGGCACUAGGUGUGGGGGACAUUCCACGUUUUCCGCGCCGUAGCUAACGCAUUAAGUGCCCCGCCUGGGGAGUACGGUCGCAAGACUAAAACUCAAAGAAAUUGACGGGGGCCCGCACAAGCGGCGGAACAUGCGGAUUAAUUCGAUGCAACGCGAAAGAACCUUACCAAGGCUUGACAUAUACCGGACCGCUCUAGAGAUAGAGUUUCCCUUCGGGGCUGGUAUACAGGUGGUGCAUGGUUGUCGUCAGCUCGUGUCGUGAGAUGUUGGGUUAAGUCCCGCAACGAGCGCAACCCUCGUUCUAUGUUGCCAGCACGUAAUGGUGGGGACUCAUAGGAGACUGCCGGGGUCAACUCGGAGGAAGGUGGGGAUGACGUCAAAUCAUCAUGCCCCUUAUGUCUUGGGCUUCACGCAUGCUACAAUGGCCGGUACAAAGGGUUGCGAUACUGUGAGGUUGAGCUAAUCCCAAAAAGCCGGUCUCAGUUCGGAUUGGGGUCUGCAACUCGACCCCAUGAAGUCGGAGUCGCUAGUAAUCGCAGAUCAGCAACGCUGCGGUGAAUACGUUCCCGGGCCUUGUACACACCGCCCGUCAAGUCACGAAAGUUGGUAACACCCGAAGCCGAUUGCCUAACGCCGUUGGGAGGGAGUCGUCGAAGGUGGAUGCG
rnacentral:rRNA from 1 species